GAUGAAGAACGCAGCGAAAUGCGAUAGGUAAUGUGAAUUGCAGAAUUCCGUGAAUCAUCGAAUCUUUGAACGCACAUUGCGCCCCCUGGUAUUCCGGGGGGCAUGCCUGUCCGAGCGUCAUUGCAACCUUCAAGCGCGGCUUGUGUGUUGGGUCUCGUCCCCCGUGGACGGGCCCGAAAGGCAGUGGCGGCGUCCCGACAUGGUGCCCGAGCGUAUGGGAAUCCUCUUCCGCUCGAAUCGGCCCAUGCGGCGCUGGUCGUAACCAAAUUUUUUACCGGUUGACCUCGGAUCAGGUAGGGAUACCCGCUGAACUUAAGCAUAUCAAUAAGCGGAGGA
rnacentral:misc_RNA from 1 species